rnacentral:ncRNA from 3 species
UGCACAUUAUUUGAUCUUUGGUGAUUUUAGCUGUAUGGUGUAUAUCAAAGAUCCAUAGAGCUUUAUCACCAAAACCCAAAUGGUUUUUGCA